rnacentral:rRNA from 1 species
GAUGAACGCUGGCGGCGUGCCUAAUACAUGCAAGUCGAGCGAACGGACGAGAAGCUUGCUUCUCUGAUGUUAGCGGCGGACGGGUGAGUAACACGUGGAUAACCUACCUAUAAGACUGGGAUAACUUCGGGAAACCGUAGCUAAUACCGGAUAAUAUUUUGAACCGCAUGGUUCAAAAGUGAAAGACGGUCUUGCUGUCACUUAUAGAUGGACCCGCGCUGCAUUAGCUAGUUGGUAAGGUAACGGCUUACCAAGGCAACGAUGCAUAGCCGACCUGAGAGGGUGAUCGGCCACACUGGAACUGAGACACGGUCCAGACUCCUACGGGAGGCAGCAGUAGGGAAUCUUCCGCAAUGGGCGAAAGCCUGACGGAGCAACGCCGCGUGAGUGAUGAAGGUCUUCGGAUCGUAAAACUCUGUUAUUAGGGAAGAACAUAUGUGUAAGUAACUGUGCACAUCUUGACGGUACCUAAUCAGGAAGCCACGGCUAACUACGUGCCAGCAGCCGCGGUAAUACGUAGGUGGCAAGCGUUAUCCGGAAUUAUUGGGCGUAAAGCGCGCGUAGGCGGUUUUUUAGUCUGAUGUGAAAAGCCCACGGCUCAACCGUGGAGGGUCAUUGGAAACUGGAAAACUUGAGUGCAGAAGAGGAAAGUGGGAAUUCCCUGUGUAACGGGUGAAAAGCGCAAGAAUAGGGAGGAACUCCAGUGGCGAAUGCCAUUUUCUGGGGUGGUACCGAAUUUGAAUGUGGAAAA